GUUCAUUCUAGAAUUGCACUUGAAGGAAUCCAGGUCUGUUCUGGUGACAGGUUGAUUCACUCUUUGUGAGCACUUCUUUGCUGGAUAAUACAGAUGAGGCUGUCAGGCUUAACCCUCUCUUCUCAAGCUUCCAACAUCAUCCUUGCAGACUCUACAAUCAGGUAUGCAUUUAGAAGGGGCUGCAGAAC
rnacentral:lncRNA from 12 species